rnacentral:rRNA from 1 species
AGGAAAAGAAACUAACAAGGAUUCCCCUAGUAACGGCGAGUGAAGCGGGAAGAGCUCAAAUUUGAAAUCUGGUGGCCUCAGGUCAUCCGAGUUGUAAUCUAUAGAAGUGUUUUCCGUGCUGGCUCAUGUACAAGUCCCUUGGAACAGGGCGUCAUAGAGGGUGAGAAUCCCGUCCUUGACAUGAACUACCAGUGCUCUGUGAUACAUUUUCAACGAGUCGAGUUGUUUGGGAAUGCAGCUCAAAAUGGGUGGUAAAUUCCAUCUAAAGCUAAAUAUUGGCGAGAGACCGAUAGCGAACAAGUACCGUGAGGGAAAGAUGAAAAGCACUUUGGAAAGAGAGUUAAACAGUAUGUGAAAUUGUUGAAAGGGAAACGAUUGAAGUCAGUCGUGCUCUUUGGAUUCAGCCGGUUCUGCCGGUGUACUUCCUUUGAGUGGGGUCAACAUCAGUUUUGAUCGCUGGAUAAAGGCUGGAGGAACGUAGUACCCUCGGGUAAACUUAUAGCCUCCUGUCACAUACAGUGGUUGGGACUGAGGAACGCAGCACGCCUUUAUGGCCGGGAUUCGUCCACGUACGUGCUUAGGAUGUUGACAUAAUGGCUUUAAACGACCCGUC